ACGCUCGACACCUACGGGAGGCAGCAGUGGGGAAUAUUGCACAAUGGGGGAAACCCUGAUGCAGCGACGCCGCGUGGAGGAAGAAGGUCUUCGGAUUGUAAACUCCUGUUGUUGGGGAAAAAAGAGGAUGGUACCCAACAAGGAAGUGACGGCUAACUACGUGCCAGUAGCCGCCGGUAAGUUACUGAGGCGGGGCGUGGCGAAGGACG
rnacentral:rRNA from 1 species